rnacentral:rRNA from 1 species
GGAAUAUUGGGCAAUGGGCGCAAGCCUGACCCAGCAACGCCGCGUGAAGGAAGAAGGCUUUCGGGUUGUAAACUUCUUUCAAGAGGGAAGAUAAUGACGGUACCUGACUAAGAAGCCCCGGCUAACUACGUGCCAGCAGCCGCGGUCAUACGUAGGGGGCAAGCGUUAUCCGGAUUUACUGGGUGUAAAGGGUGCGUAGGUGGCAGGGCAAGUCAGAUGUGAAAGCCCGGGGCUCAACCCCGGUACUGCAUUUGAAACUGUCCAGCUGGAGUGCAGGAGAGGUAAGCGGAAUUCCUAGUGUAGCGGUGAAAUGCGUAGAUAUUAGGAGGAACACCAGUGGCGAAGGCGGCUUACUGGACUGUAACUGACACUGAGGCACGAAAGCGUGGGGAGCAAACAG